rnacentral:rRNA from 1 species
ACGCACGCUGGCGGCAGGCUUAACACCUGCAAGUCGCACGCCCCGCAAGGGGAGUGGCCGACGGGUGAGUAACGCGUGGGAACAUACCCUUUUCUACGGAAUAGCUCUGGGAAACUGGAAUUAAUACCGUAUACGCCCUACGGGGGAAAGAUUUAUCGGGGAAGGAUUGGCCCGCGUUGGAUUAGCUAGUUGGUGGGGUAAAGGCCUACCAAGGCGACGAUCCAUAGCUGGUCUGAGAGGAUGAUCAGCCACAUUGGGACUGAGACACGGCCCAAACUCCUACGGGAGGCAGCAGUGGGGAAUAUUGGACAAUGGGCGCAAGCCUGAUCCAGCCAUGCCGCGUGAGUGAUGAAGGCCUUAGGGUUGUAAAGCUCUUUCACCGAUGAAGAUAAUGACGGUAGUCGGAGAAGAAGCCCCGGCUAACUUCGUG